AAUAAAUAAGUAAAUAAAAUAAACAUUUGUCAUUUAAUAACAAAUGUUAUUAAAUUUAUGUAAUAACAAAUGUUAAUUAGUGAGUAAAUGAAGGUAUUAGUUCAUUCCACACCGAUAUGAAGAAAUACACAAGACUGGAUAAUUUAUAAAGGAAAGAGGUUUAAUUGACUCAGUUCCACAUUACCGAGGAGGCCUCAGGACACUUAUAAUCAUGGCAGAAGGCAAAGGAGAAGCAGGAACCUUCUUCAUAGGGUGGCAAGACAGAGUGUGGAGCAGGGGAAAUGUCAGAUGCUUUAUAAAACCAUCAAAUCUUGUGAGACUCACUCAAUAUUGAGAACAGCAUGGGGAAACUGCCCCCAUAAUCCAGUUUCCCCCACCUGAUCCUGCCCUUGACAGGUGGGGAUUCUGGAUAAUAGAGGGAUUACAAUUCAAGAUGAGAUUUUGGAUGGGGACACAGCUGAACCCUAUCAAUGAAGAAAUGAAUUAAUGUUAAGUUGGCGUUAUUGAAUCUCCAGAGUUGCACUAGAAUAGACUUUAAUUCUGGUUGCCUGCACUGGUAACUGUACUUAAAUGAUUUCUGGGAGAAAAUAGCUCUCAUUUGCAAGCUUCUUUUUGGCAGUCCUUACUCUCUUCCCCUAGCACCCAGCAACUUUGUAGCAGAUCUUUGUUAGUGGAUGGAGGUUUUAUUAUGGUGUAUACUUUAUUUGUAUACAAUUUACUUGUGAUCUUAACGUAGAAAGGUUGUUUCUGUUUCAAAGUAAUUUGAAAUCUCUGUAAGGAUGUUCAUCAGAUAGAAUUGCUCAUAUUAUUUUAUAUAUAUUUGCUAUUGUUGUUAUUGAGGGUAGAUCACAGAGCCUGGGAAAUAGUCCUUUGGUUGGUUAUCAAAAUUAAGCCAAAACAAAAAAUAGUAUAUUUCUCCUUCUUCCAUUAGAACUGUAGCUCUUGUUAUGAAUUCUGGUAAUAAAUUACUUCAUUAAAGUCAAAUAGUUUAUGAUGUUCCUUGGCAGGGAAAUCUUGAAAAUAUUUUACUGUUACAGCAAAUUUCACACUAAGUUAUAUUUCAAAAAGUCAUUAGUAAAAGUUCUGGAAAAAGAACAGUCACUGUCAAGUGAUAUGCUACCAAAAGAUGGAUUGCUACUAUUUUAGAUGAUUUAGCUGUGCUAGUUAUAUGGGAUUUUUAUGAGUUACGCUAUGCAUGAUUUCCAGUAAAACUUUGAUUUUAAAUGUAAACAUUUAUUUAAAUGUUUAAUCCACUCCUAACAUAAAUACUAAGUUGUGUGUUCUUAUAAAUUUGUUUAAGUGUUAGAACUUAUAUAUAGGCACAUUCUGCAUUGAAAUAAGUGAAAUAAUUUUCAUCCUAGCUUUUUGGUGACAGUAUUUCUAUUUGCUGAGUGAUGAAAAAGUAAUUAGUUAUGAAAUGAGAUACAAACUAUGAUAGAUUCUUCUGUAAAUAGAACAUUUCAAGUUUUAUCUUGGUUCUUGCAAGAAUAUUUAGUACUUAUACAUGAUUUUUCCUUGUGUUCAAAUGUGCUCAGCUGCAAAGGGAGUAGUGACUCAGAUAAUUCAAUAUAGGGAAUAGUCCAGAAUUUGACCUUUAAAUUGUUUUGGAAUUUGCAUUCAAAUAUUGAUAUCUCUGAAAGAGGUAUGAGCAGCACUUUCCACAAUAUAGUAAACAGUCCAGUAAUGUCUUUAUCUUGAAAUAAACUGCAGAUUGCCCAACUGUUUCUUUAUUAUCUAAAACAAAACUGCCUUUAUUUCUGUAUUGUUGCAAUUUUUAAUCUGCUUUUAGUCUGGGGUAUAAUAAUUUGGCCUUAAAAGAUUUUCAGCUUUUGAAAAUCUUCAGUUAUCUCUUGCCUCUCACUUACCAGGCUGGCCUGAUGUGAUACCACCUGCUUUUCUUUAUAUAUACAUAUAUAUAUAUUUUUUUCUUUUGCCAGUUUUUGCUGUAGCAGCACCUGCUUUUCUUUAUGGACAUAACCAUUACUCUAAAAUUUGAGAGUAAUUAAAAAUUAUAGUCUAUUGUAAUGAACAAGGUAGACAUUGGGCCAUUUAUUCAUUUCUAAAACCUCUCUGAGUGUGUGUGUCUGCCAUAUACUAGCUUUUUUUUUUUUUUGUGGAUAGAGGAUCCAAAGAUGAUAGAUAGCCUUUGAGAAACUUAUAUUUUGCAGUUUGGCAAGGAGGUGGUGGUAGGGGAGAUAGGUAAAAAAAUUGCAAUGUAUUGUCAUAAGUUCUGUGAUUGAGAUAAGGAAAUGUCAUAGGAAUGCGUAGGAGGGUCAUUUAACCCAGAGUUUGAAAUGUACAUCUGAACUGAGUUUUGAAGGGUGAGUAGAAAUUAGCCAGAUAAAGAGGAAAAUAAUCCUGGAAAAACUCUAAGACGAUGUGACCAAUAUAGGAGAUCAGCUUUGGAAUAAAUAGUGGCUAUCAUUUAUUGAGCUCUACCAUGUGCCAAACUCUGUGAUAGGAGUUUGAAACCACUUACCUCAGUGUAACUUGUGCAGCAGGUGCUAUUAUUCAUAGUUUGUAAAUGAAGAAACAGAGUCACAAGUUUCCUCACGUCAUCACGUGGUUAAUUAAUAGUAUUGCUAGUUUAAAAAACUCUAGCUUUUCUGGCUUUUUCUUUCUGUAGGCUGUUUUCGCCCAGCAAAGGACAGUUUCAAGAUGGAGGAGAUAAAUAGUUACCAUGCUAUUGAAAGUUCACAUGUGUAGAUUAAUUCUGAAAAGUGUGCAGAGGGAUUUAUAGUGACUUGUUUGUUCAUUUAGGAGUAUUUACUGAGAGCCUCUCAUGUGCCAAGAACUGUGCAAAGAAUUAGGAAUAAAAUGACAAAUGCCAAAGUUGAGGUAGAGGGUGAAAGAAAGCGAGGACACUGACUGAAGCCAUAGUUUGAAAAAUCUGGAUUGCAAAGGAAAAGAUAAUGAUUGAGCAAUACAUUUUAGGGGAAGUCAGUAGUCUUAGUUUUUGUUUGUUUGUUUUUUUCGUAUGGGAAGUAUUAAUACUUUGUUUAUAUGCUGAAGAGAAAGAGCCAUAGCAGGGGAAAGAUAGAAGAUGUAAAAGAAAGAGCUUUUAGGUCACAUGUUUAAUUAAGUAGAUGGUGAGAUGAUUCUUGAAUUUGUAAUGGCUGUAUAAUUUUAGUGUGAUUAGCCUGUUCUUGAGUAAUGAGACUCGAAUAAACAAUGAAACCUCUUAUUUAAAUGAUCGCUGUAACCUCUUAUGCCCGAUUUAUGCAUUCCUCUUUAUUGUCCCUCAGUUAUUCUGCCCCUACUUCUGUUUAUCAUAGGAUUUGUUAUACUGAAUUAGAGUCAUCGAUAUCUACCUGUUAGACGAUAUGCUUCUUGUGUGGCAGGGAUGAGAAGAGACUAUGUCUGAUGCCACCUAACGACUGGUAUAAUCCCACUUCAGUAAAUGCUUAUUGAAUCAGUGAAUCAAUGAAUAACUUGGACUUUCUUAUUUUUACCAUUUUUGAACAAUUUUCUUUUUGACUUUGAAGGGUUAAAAGGUAUAUAGCUACCCUAUUAAGGUUUUGUUUGUUAGAAAUUAAGUACUUAACACUUUAAGGUAUGCCCUAGAAUAGAUAAAAAGAGAACGUUAAAAAUUUUUGACGUUGAAAGGGUCUUGUUGGUUAAUUUUUUGGAAACUCUGUAAUGAUUAUUUUAUACAAAGGUUACAAUGUGCGUAAAAUAAUUUCUGAUAUUAAAGUAUGGUAAGUAGAAAUUAAUAAAACAGCCUUUAUUAAUUUCUUUCAGUUUAUGGUGGUUUGCUCGCUGUGAGAUUUUUCUCUAGGCAUAGUAAGA